AUUUGCUCAGAUACACUUGAUACCAAGCUAAAUCUGUGAGUGCUACCUUCAUUGUUUCUUGUUAUUCUUUCUUUUGAAUUGCCUCAUGAAAGCUUGUUGGAUUAGCUAUAACCAAAGCAAAUUGUGUUGAUUCAUACAUCUCUACUAGUGAUCUCAAUUUGGUUGGUGGUGUGUCUUCAUCUGAUGAAGCGCUUUCUGAAGAAUUUGUAGGAUUUGAUGUAGUAGAUGAUGGGCUAGAACCUCCUUCUAAAUCAACAUUGACAUCUUCAGUUUGCACUUCUUGAUCUACAACAAUCUUCUCUUUAUUUUCUGAGUUGUUCCACUUAGCAUCUUCAUUGAACACUGCAUCUCUUCUAGUACUUUUUCAUUCAAUGGAUUAUAUAAUCUGUAUGCCUUAGACUGUGUACUAUAUCCAAUAAAGAUACAUUUCUUAGAUUUUGUAUCAAGUUUCUUCCUAUUAUGCGCAUGA
rnacentral:lncRNA from 1 species